rnacentral:misc_RNA from 1 species
GGGGGGUGUGGGGGGGAGAGGGGAGGAGAGGGAAGGGAGGGGGAGAUAAUAAUUUUCCAUAUGAAGAAAUUCUAAUAAAGGCAAAUGAGUAAUUUCCAUCGUUUUCACCUCACUUUCUUCAGAGAGAUUGAUUUAUGGUGUAAAAUUUCUCUAUAUUUUCUAUCCAUCCACUUCCUGUUCAUUAUCCUAAACAAAGUACAAACCUUUCCCCCUUUAUUUUCCUUUGUUCCUUCCUUCCAUCCAUUCCCCCCUCCCAAACAUAGUGCAAAUGUUUCACUACACAUGAACAUAACAAAUAUACAAAGAGAGAAUUUUUUUUUUUUUUUUUUUU